CGUAUAACCAUUGGAGGAUUCCCAGAAAGUUAUAUCAGUUGCAGAUGGUACAGUUAGAAAAGAAUAAGCGCUUUUACCAAUAGUGAGGCAGGUGUGGAGCAACUACCACGAGGAGAGAACCCUUCAGCUUUUAAGAUGGUUUUACUUCGAUUUACUUAUUUCUUUCCGCAUGGCGAGCGGCGCACCCCGGACCGGGCCGGAGGGCGGCGGAGGAAGACCGCGCGGCGCCGAUCUGCGCGCGAGGGAGCAGGUGAGGCUCCUCAGGAGUCACGGCACCAGGCUGAUACCCGGCAUAGUGCGGCGCGCAGGAGAGGAGAAUUGGGCAUCAGGGCAUUUUCCCGCUCAGCGGCUGCCCAACGGUCAAUGUUUGCUGCAGCUGCCAGUGAUGAGGAGCGACGGGGGAAAAAAGAUUGCACCAUUCAGAAGAUGGUGUACAUUAGUAAAGUAAAUCACCUAAAAACAAACCUCUUAACGCUUUUUGGUGAACACGGAUGUAGUUGCAUACACAAGAUAAAAAAUUAUUAA
rnacentral:lncRNA from 1 species